rnacentral:RNase_P_RNA from 1 species
AUCAGGUAUCAUCUGAUCGAUCUCUGCAAAAUUCAAUUUUACAGAGGUAGGAAAGUCCGGACAACAUAGGGAAGGACAGUUGCUAACGGCAACCAAGAGCAAUCUUAGGGAAAGUGCCACAGAAACUAUACCGCCAUCAUACGAUCAGAAGCAGGCUAAACCUGCAGAAUUUCAAAAGAUGGUAAGGGUGAAAAGAGUAAGGUAAGAGCUUACAAUUCUGCACGGUGACGUGUGGAAGUGGUAAACCCUGUUCGUUGCAAGGAGUGGAUCUAUCAGGUUCCCGCCAUGGUCCACGGUUUAAUCCGCUUGAGGUAACUGGCGACAGUUAUCCCAGAUAGAUGAUCAGACCCGUUUGCUUUUGCAGACGGUGACAAAAUCCGGCUUAUCGAUACCUGAUCAAC